CUCCUCCACAGAUGCUGCCAGACCUGCUGAGCUUUUCCAGCAACUUUGUUUUUGUUCAACAAUUUGGAUGUUGGGACCAAAUUUGGAAUAAUGUGAGGUUAUUCACUUUGAUAGGAAGAACAGAUAUGCAAAGUAUGUCUUAAAUGGUGAGAGGUUGGAAAGUGUAGAUAUGCAAAGGGACUUGAGGUCCUUGUCAAUAAGUCACUGGAGGCUAACAGCAGGUGCAGCAAGCUUUUAGGAAAGUUAAUGGAAUGUUAAACUUUAUCAUAAGAGGAUUUCAAUACAGGAGGAGUGAAGUCUUGCUUCAAUUCUAAAGGACCUUUAGUUCGAUCAUACCUGAGCUACCCUGUUCAAUUCUGAGGAAAGGUCACCUGACCCGAAACAUUAACUCUGAUUUUUUUCUUCACAGAUGCUGCCACACCUGCUGAGCUUUUCCACCGGCUUCUGUUUUUGUUCCUGAUUUACAGCAUCCGCAGUUCUUUCGAUUGUUAUACUUUGUUCAAUUUUGGUUUCCUUAUCUCAGGAAUGAUAUUGUCAAAGAGGCAGUACAAUGAAGUUUCACCAAACAUGUUCCUGGGAUGGUAGGAUGGAAAUUAAGAGAGAUUGGGCAAAUUGGGCCUGUAUUCUGUACAGUUUUGACAAAUGAGAGGUGAUCUAAUUGAAACCUACAAAAUACAUGAAGUGAUAAAUAAGGUAGAUGUUUCCACUGUUUGAGGAAUAUAGAACCACAAUGCACAAUUUAAAAUAAGGGAAAUGCUAUCUGGGACUAAAAUUAGGAGAAUUGUUUUUUACACCAAUGGUGGUUAAUCUUUUGAAUUCUGUACCACAGAGGGCUGUGAUAGCUCUGUCUUUGAGUAUAUUUAAAAUAGUGGUUGAUUAAAUUUUUGAUUAUCAACGGCAGACGGAGUCUCGGGAUAACGUGGGAUAAACAUACUUAAGAGUUCAAUCGGUCGUGAUGGUAUAUUGCAGAGCAGGCUCGAUGGGCUGAAUAUCCUACUCCUGUUUGUAUAUGACAGUACCAUGCAUUGGAUGUUUAGGUCAUUUAUGAAGUUAGUAUAGUUUCAUAAGUUAAAGCACACUACUGGUACAACAUCUGUCAGCCUGACCGGCUAUGGCCGUACUAUCAGGUGGCAGUAAUGUAUUUUUGAUGUGUAAUGGAUUCUGAUGCAUUCCAGCUGCUAUCCAGGAAAUAUACUUUCUCUUCAUAUGGUGCUGUCAAUGAAAUUCAUUGUAGAAUGCCUAUGAUGCUGUGGUAGCAAGACUUGUUUCUCAUGGAUCUUCAGAUGUGUCAUCACAGCUUGCUGCUCCAUCAAAAUUCAAAGUGCCAACAAAAAAAACUGUGGGUGAAUCUGCAACAGAAAUCUAUUUUAUUAUGUAUCAUUUGAUGAAAUAGGGUUUGAUUUUUCAAACAUGGAAGAUGAAAGCAAUUUGUGAGAAUGCUGUUGGAAAUUUAGUAAUGCAGCUAUGCAUAAUUGGUUCUAUUUUUUUCUGUAAAUUAAACAAUCUCCAUCAAUCUCAGUCCACUGUGGAUUUAUUUCAGAAAGCUGCUUUUAUUUUUUAAGUGCUGGUUAAGAAUUUUAAGAAAUUAAGUUUUAUAUGGCAUUGAAUUAUUAGUUCAAAUUGUUGUAGCAUAAACCCAAUGUCAAUUUAGAAGAUGACUUUUCUUUGACUUUUUAAUCCUUAUACAAUUUUAUUUCUGUCAAGUUAAGCACCAGGAUAACAUAUUAAAUGAGUGUAGCCAAAAUAGUCUUUAAUCCAUUGGUAUGCUCUGCUAAACACUCCAUCAAGCUACCUGUAGGUAUGUACCAGUGUUGUAGCAUGAUGUUGAAUUAGCCUCAUUUGCAAUCUGGAUAAUGUCUUGUGAGAAGUUCAUUCAGAGGGACUUGCUGAAUUUUUAUAGCUGUCUCCUCUGUAAUUUGCACUGUUGAGAAUGAGUACUUCAUAUAAUGAGAUAUAUUGGGAACUUUAAUUGCAGUUGUAUGAAUACAUUUAAGUUUUCAAUUGAUACUAAUAGUCGGAAGAUUAAGUGUGUUCCCAAAUCUGGAAGUGCUCUGUUUUCAAUCUGAAAAUCACUGCUAAUACUUUGGGGAAAUUUGUGUAUUGCUCUGAAUUCAUAUCGUAAAUUUACUUGAAGAAUAAAAUUGAUAUUUUUAAAACUCUAUUGCUCUGCUUAGUCAGCACUGAAGGUUUUAAAAUGUUUUAAGUCAGUUUAUGUUGGUGAAAUGUGGAUGCAUAUUGCUAUGGUAACUUAUAAGUGUUAUGAAUAAAAAUUUCCGUAUUGGAAUCUCACAAGGCUGUUAUCCAUCCAAAAGAUCUUACAAGUGAUUUAAGCAACUAAGUACAACCUGUGGAAAGGUUAAAUGUGCAUGGGAAACAUUUUCCUCCAAAUGAAGUUGUAAGCCUGACUUUCAACUUUGAAAUGUGUGGAAACAUUUUGCAUAAACAUAAAUCAUUUCAUUGUGUACACUUUUUUCUUCAUUUCAGCUGCCAAAAUUUUUCUUCCAUUCAGUUAAUGUUAAGUAUCCACCUCCUCCUUUGCCUUUGCUGUAGGGCCUUCCUCUCCAAGAAUUUACUUUUCACAAAGUAGGAAAGAAGCCUGAACUAAGAUUGAUGUGGGAACCAGAGACAUUGGACCAGAAGCCAAUUUAUCAGGUAAUAACCAUCUUUGCACUGGUGGACAUUGUCUUAAAGUCAGACAGCACAGCCCUGAAGUUCAGUGCCAUUCUCAAGAAACCAAGUGGAGUUUGAGUAUAAAGUCUUAUAUGAACUCUGAAAAAUGCUGCUGAAACCAAAGUUACUGUUAACUGGAAAGUUUUUUUUUUAAUACACAAAACAUUGUUUAAAAAUCAGUAACAUUUUAAUGGUAAUUUUAAGUUUUAGCUGCAUAGAGCUAUUGUGGCAAGUUUUAGUUUAAGUGAAAAUGUGUUGUAGGUAGUGGGGAACUUCAAAAAAUGCAUUUUGUUGCAUAUGUUUUAACAGUUAUAUAUUAUUUUCAUAGUGCAUUAUGAUAUUGUUAGAAACUGAGGUUAAAGACGAGCAGUAAUAUCUGAAACCAGAGUGUGGUAAACAUGACGUGAUAUUGAAAUCAAAUAUUGUAUGAUGUGGAAUAUGUAUCUAGACCAGCACUGUGCACAGAGUAAUGAGAACCAUCUGUUGUAAUGUACUGUAUUCUGAAGCAAAUAAUAAAACAAUGCCUCAUUCCAAA